ACAAGAGCGGACGGAGAGAACGCGGCAGGUAGCGCCGCCGCCCGCCGUUCUCCUCCCAUCAGCCGACGUCCUCCACCACUCGAUCCUUUGGCAGAGGAGCGAUGGAUUCUGGAGAACAUAUACGUUCCAUCUGGAGGUGAAGCGCCGUAUUCUUCCCCCUUGAGCGAGAAGCCGGAAGUGGAGUUUACGGCAAGUCGAGCACCAGCACACCGAGGCAGAAACAAUAUACUACUAGUCCAAAAGAUAGGGAAUGCAAGGUUGGCAAGGAGGAUAUAUUUGUUCUAUGUAGAAGAUGGGAUGUCAUUGGCACAAGCAAUUAAGCAGCCAUAUCCAUGACUAAGGAAGAAGGAAACUCUGAUCAGUGGAAUUGGUUUUACUUCCAAGAUCAAAAUAAAUCUGAUCGGUGCAAUAGAUUCUACUCCCAAAGAUUAACCAGUAUGUCUUUCUUACCUUAAGAUCAUCAAGUUUUAUCUGUGGAGUUGACUUGAAAUCACCUUCAUCCACUUUGAAGCUUCUUUCACCCUUCUGCAGCUGAGUGAUCGGUGCUUAUAUUCAUUGCUAUGUCAAAACAACCAACACUGCUUGUCUUCUUCAACAGGGAAGAAAAGUAGGGCACAGAGAUCAACUCACCGACGAAGGAG